GACGAACGCUGGCGGCGUGCCUAAUACAUGCAAGUUGAGCGCUGAAGGUUGGUACUUGUACCAACUGGAUGAGCAGCGAACGGGUGAGUAACGCGUGGGGAAUCUGCCUUUGAGCGGGGGACAACAUUUGGAAACGAAUGCUAAUACCGCAUAAAAACUUUAAACACAAGUUUUAAGUUUGAAAGAUGCAAUUGCAUCACUCAAAGAUGAUCCCGCGUUGUAUUAGCUAGUUGGUGAGGUAAAGGCUCACCAAGGCGAUGAUACAUAGCCGACCUGAGAGGACGAUCAGCCACAUUGGGAGUGAGACACGGCCCAAACUCCUACGGGAGGCAGCAGUAGGGAAUCUUCGGCAAUGGACGAAAGUCUGACCGAGCAACGCCGCGUGAGUGAAGAAGGUUUUCGGAUCGUAAAACUCUGUUGGUAGAGAAGAACGUUGGUGAGAGUGGAAAGCUCAUCAAGUGACGGUAACUACCCAGAAAGGGACGGCUAACUACGUG
rnacentral:rRNA from 1 species